rnacentral:lncRNA from 1 species
UAAAGAAACUAAGGCACAGAGAGUUUAAGUGACUUGCUCCAUGUCUAAUGCAGGAUUUGAACUCAGGUCUUCCUAACUCCAAGUCCAGCGCUCCAUCCACUAUGUCAUUUAGCUUCCAGCACUAAGAACUCUCCUUUGAUGGAAUUACAGAAUUAACCAAUCAAAGGUGAAAACUAGAUGUGGACAAGGCCUAGACAACUCAAUGGAUCAACCAGUCAAAGGCUGAGCAGGUACAGACCGGAUAGAAACACAUAACUCCACCCAGAGAAUGCCUUGUGAUUAAAGAAAAUCAGUCAUACCCUAUAUAACUUAGAUCAAAUGUGAGUCAGGCAGCUGAGGAUGGGGCUGAAGACUGGCCAUGCCCUCCCCCUCCACAUGUAUCUCCCUGUCUGUUUGGCUUUAGAGAGUCCUAGGGCUGAGCUUAAGUUCAGAGGGUGAGUCAGAGGUGGCUCCUUGGUGGUGUGGGGGAGGGUAAAGGGGCACAAAGGAUAGCUGUCUGUGAGACAGGAGGGAUCACUAAGGUCAAGGAGGGACUGUCCAGGUGUUGGGAUGUCCCUCUGCUUCUGACCCAAGGCUGGGCUCAGAGGUGCUGAAGGAGGAGGUGCCCAGCACUGGGUCCUCAUGGACAUGGCUGAGUCUGGACCAGAGGAUCAGGGCCAAGCAUGAGUACUUCCUCCAUGCACACCCCAGACCCUCAGUUUGUCAAUUCGGGGCAAGGGUGUCCCCUACACUCACCUGCAGAGUCAUGGUGGUAGGAUGGAUGGAGGAAAAGAGCCUCCAGAUCCCCAGAGCAGAGGAUAGUGGUGCUGGUGAGAACUCACACUUUGCCCUGACCCUCUCCCAUUCCUCUGGGCCUGGGACAGAACCUCUCUUUGGUAAAGGGCAUGUGGGAUAGGAAUGGGAGAGCCCUCUCUCAGGGCACAGGAAGGUAAAUCAUCCCCUCUAAACAUCGUCCAACUUCUAACUUCACUCAGCACAGAGAGCAGCCCCUAAUGCCCCCAGAGAGGGAGAAGGGGAAGGGGGACAUUUAAGAGCUGCGCUGAGGUCGAU